rnacentral:rRNA from 1 species
UACGUAGGGUGCAAGCGUUGUCCGGAAUUAUUGGGCGUAAAGAGCUCGUAGGCGGUUUGUCGCGUCUGCCGUGAAAGUCCGGGGCUCAACUCCGGAUCUGCGGUGGGUACGGGCAGACUAGAGUGAUGUAGGGGAGACUGGAAUUCCUGGUGUAGCGGUGAAAUGCGCAGAUAUCAGGAGGAACACCGAUGGCGAAGGCAGGUCUCUGGGCCAUUAACUGACGCUGAGGAGCGAAAGCAUGGGGAGCGAACAGG